UCUGGAGAACCGGCGCAGUCAGGACACGCUGUGUGGCGGGGUUUGGAAUAUUCUUAACGGUGGUUUGGGCGGUGUUGGCCCCGAUCUACGGAGACCGCUGGGAAGCUAUAGAUGUGCUGGAAAUUCCUCUUACUCUUCUUUAGGAUUUAAUCUGCUUCUUGUUUCAGUCAUCCUUGGUUUAUGUUCCAACUUUCCUUACUCCUUUUGUAGCCAAAAAUGCCGCCUCUGUAUACCGACGCCAGUUACGUCUUGGAGACAGUUUCGAGGAAGAGAAAGAGCAGCUUUACUGCUCUGCUAGGCAAAGGAAGACACAGCAGGCUAAUGUCUCAAAACUGUGUCCUGCCUUGAGAGGGGGUAGCAAGGGGUCCUGUAGCUUUAGCUUGAAAGACAGGGUUAUUGAUUAAGGUGUCUAUAGUCUUCCAUCGAUCAUUUCAGAGCUGUCAAGAUUGAUGUUAGAUGGUCUGGUGAUGGUUUCUGGUUGUCUUAGUGGUUAUCAUUCCUUGACUUUCUCUCUGGAAUGAAGAUUGCUAACAGGGAGGGCUUAUUAGGGGGUAUUCCAAUUAAAAAAAAACACUAGGUGUAAUAAAAUACUAGCUAGAAAGUAACCAUUAGUAAAAUAGAGCAAUUAAGCAAGGGAGAGAUCAUUUGUGAAAAGCCAGAUGCUAGGUGCAAUGUAAGUCUAAUUAGCAGGAAAGCAUUGUACUAAGUGGGCCAAGGCAGGGCAUAACACAAUGGAGACGGUUCAACCAGUUUUAUUAUUAUUAUUGUUAGUGUUAUUUUUGCUAUAACACUUUCUCCACUUAUCCCCCAGUUUUUCCUCUGCCAGUGUUUCCCUUCCUCCCUUACUGGUUGCAUUUCUUCCCUUCCUUCCCCUGCAUACACAGGAAGGUUGUUUUUCAGUUGAUCUGUUUAUUAGUAUUCAUAUUCCUGCCUCUGCUACUAGUUCCUUUAGCAAAAUACGGAAGAUGCCUAUUCCAGAGGUAUUUUGAGCUUACCACACCUCAACUCUGAGAAGACAAAGGUCAUGUUCGUCUUGCCGAACUGUUGGCAUCUUCAGCACCUGGCAGCUAAUAGGCUGAGCAGUUGAUUCCAUGAGUGAGAUUCUCCAAAACUUCACUUUUUCCUUUGGCAAGAUGAUGGCGAUGUUUGAACGGUGUUGAUCCCAACAGCCUGUGUCCUUGAACAGCUGCUGCUUCAUAAAGUUUCCCAUAGGGAGUAGGAGGUCUCUGCUCCUUCAAGAUAUAACCUGGGCAACUCUCUACACCUGUAGAAGAUUGCCUCUGACUCAGUGGAAGAAGAAACUGAAGCCCAGAGAUGUUAAGAGAAGAAAUGAUUUAUUCAAACUUCAGAUUUGUGGAAAUUUUCUGGUGUACAGCAUAAAGAAUGCUCCUCCAAGGAAGAGAAAUUGACUUGACCAAGCAAGAGGAGGGAUGGGGCCAGCAUAUGACACGAAGGUGAAGAGAUAAGAGAGCUAUGGAAAGGUUUCCCUGAAGCAAGGCCCUCUCCACCCACCAUAGGAUUUGUGCAAGGUGGGACGAAAAGAUUUUGUCAUGCCAUCCCUUGUUGGGUAUGUUCCGGAAACAGUGUCGGAGCAGCACUGCAUGUUCUUAUCUCCGCACUCUCCUUAGGUCAGGGAUGAGUGGAAGUAUAGAGGGUAGUAGGGGUAGUAAGUAACCGUCGCAUCCAUUUUCAUCUCAGAUACUGGCCACUGGUGCAAAAGCCUUAAAGCAUGUGGGCCUGUUAUCAAGGCUAUACCUUGUCUUCCUCUCAUAGUUCAUGGGAUGCUGAUAAAGAAAACUGCUGCUUGGGUUAGUUUCUGUCUGGCACUAGAGGGAUUUUUAAAAUCUGUUCUGUCAUCUAAUAAGUGUUAAUACCUCUAGAGUUGCAGUUUGGGUACUUAGCAUCAGGGCCAAUCAGUGGAAAAUUUUGGCAGCAAAGAGCAUGUACUUCUGUCAUUUCCAGUGAAGUUGUACAUAAUAAAGUGUCAACACCUCUCCAGGGCUCAGAAGAAAUGUGCUGGAAUCCUGAGCCUUUGAUGUUUGUGUUGGCGAAUUUUAUGUCAACUUGGCUGGGCCAUGAUGCCUAGAUAUUUGGUCAAAUAAUUUGUGGAUAUUUCUGUGAAGGUGUUUUUUGGAUGGAAUUCACAUUUAAAUUGAUGGAUUUUGGAGUUGUCUGGUGGCUCAGCGGGUUAAGGAUCUGGUGUUGUCACUGCUGUGGCAUGGAUUUGAUCCUUGUCCCAGAAAUUUCUGUGUGCUGCAGGUGCGGCAAAAAAAAAAAAAAAGUGGUCGAUUUUGAGUAAAGCAGAUUACCUUCCAGGACAUAGGUGGGCCUUAAGUUGGGCCUCAAGUUGAAAGCCUUAAUAAAACAAAGACUGACGUCUUCCAAGCAAGAGGGUAUUACGAGAGAAGCUUGCCUUGGAACUCAGAAUGCAGCUUCUUUCUGGGUCUCCGUCCUGUUGGCCUACCCUGCAGAUUUUGGACUUGUUAAGCUUCUGUAAUCAUGAGGCAAUUCCCUAAAAUCUCAAUCUCUCUCUCUCUCUCUCUCUAUCUCCCCCCUAGUUUUCUAGUUAUCUUAUUGUUAUGUAACGAACAACUCUGAAACUUAGUGGCACAACUGGGAUGGCUCAAUUUUAUGGGCUGGAAUAAAGUCCACUUUUAAGACAGCUCUUAUACAACCAUGUGGAUAGCAAGUUGGUACCAGCUGUUGUCUGGGAGCUUAGCCAGAGUCAUUAGCCAGUAGACCCUGUUCCUCUGCAUGUGGGCCCCUCCACAGGCUUCUUGGACUUACUCACAGCGUGGCAACUAUAUACAUAUACAGAUAUAUAUAUAUAUAUAUAUAUAUAUAUAUAUAUAUAUAUAUACACACACACACACACAUGCAUAUACAUAUAUAUACAUGUGUGUAUAUAUAUAUGUGUGUGUGUGUGCAAAAGUUUCUAUCCCUUACACAUACAAAAUAGACCCAUUCCUUAUCCUCAAGACCACCAAAUCUCAUCCCUUUAAGAAUCAACUUGAGGAGUGCCCGCUGUGGCUCAGUGGUUAAUGGAUCCAACUAGGAACCACAAAGGUUUGAUCC